GGAAGGGUGGCAGAGUGGUCUAUUGUAUCUGAUUCGAAAUCAGACGUAGGGCAACCUACCGUGGGUUCGAAUCCCACCCCUUCCGCCA
rnacentral:tRNA from 1 species